rnacentral:tRNA from 1 species
GGGAAUUUAGCUCAGUGGUAGAGCGCUUGCCUAGGAAGCGCAAGGCCCUGGGUUCGGUCCCCAGCUCCCCA